CGGACGCCUUCGCUCCGGACAUUUUCACCUGAAACUCUCUGCACGUAAAAGAGCCGCCCAAUACACCACAGGGUUCAGCGCUCUUUAGCAAAGCAUGGCUGAUAUUUUCAGAUUUACCGGCGUUCUGCAAAAAGAAAACAGCACAAGGAGAACAGGACAUGGAGCAGGGGCAGAAGAACAGAGCAACAACGGGAACAACGGUGGAACAGGCAGGCAAACGGACAGUAACAGGAGGAUCCAGCAAAGAACAAUGAUCAAAGAGCUUAAAUACUAGAGGAAUAAAGGAGAAUGACAUCGGAUGCAGAGAUAAGUACAUGUGUAAUUCUAAGGAACGGGACCUCAAAGCAUUUUCUGGUGGAACCUCUUCUGAUGUUCUCCACACUACACCCAGUGAGUCCUGCUUCUUCUGCAACACUGACAUGUUAACCAUACAGUCCGGAACAGGAGAAAACCAAAAAGCAGCUAUGAAUCAGAUUCUUCUUUGACCUGUGGCUAAUGGUGUCAACAUUUGCUAACACAGAGGCCUGUACCAUGUCCCAUGCUGUAGCACAGCAGAGCUCCUAAUAAAUCCUUUUAAGAAAUUAG